UACGUAGGGUGCAAGCGUUGUCCGGAAUUAUUGGGCGUAAAGAGCUCGUAGGCGGUUUGUUGCGUCGGCUGUGAAAUCCCGAGGCUCAACCUCGGGUCUGCAGUCGAUACGAGCAAACUAGAGUGUUGCAGGGGAGACUGGAAUUCCUGGUGUAGCGGUGAAAUGCGCAGAUAUCAGGAGGAACACCGGUGGCGAAGGCGGCACUCUGGGCUGGAACUGACGCUGAGGAGCGAAAGCGUGGGUAGCAAACAGG
rnacentral:rRNA from 1 species